rnacentral:rRNA from 1 species
UACGUAGGCAGCGAGCGUUGUUCGGAGUUACUGGGCGUAAAGCGUGCGUAGGCGGUGUCUUAAGUUUGUUGUGAAAUCUCCCGGCUUAACCGGGAGGGUGCGGUGAAUACUGAGAUGCUGGAGUGCCGGAGAGGUAAGCGGAAUUCCUGGUGUAGCGGUGAAAUGCGUAGAUAUCAGGAGGAACACCUGCGGUGUAGGCGGCUUACUGGACGGUAACUGACGCUGAGGCACGAAAGCGUGGGUAGCAAACAGG